rnacentral:rRNA from 1 species
AGAUUGAACGCUGGCGGCAUGCCUUACACAUGCAAGUCGAACGGCAGCACGGGAGCAAUCCUGGUGGCGAGUGGCGAACGGGUGAGUAAUACAUCGGAACGUGCCCAAUCGUGGGGGAUAACGCAGCGAAAGCUGUGCUAAUACCGCAUAAGAUCUACGGAUGAAAGCAGGGGAUCGCAAGACCUUGCGCGAAUGGAGCGGCCGAUGGCAGAUUAGGUAGUUGGUGAGGUAAAGGCUCACCAAGCCUUCGAUCUGUAGCUGGUCUGAGAGGACGACCAGCCACACUGGGACUGAGACACGGCCCAGACUCCUACGGGAGGCAGCAGUGGGGAAUUUUGGACAAUGGGCGAAAGCCUGAUCCAGCCAUGCCGCGUGCAGGAUGAAGGCCUUCGGUUGUAAACUGCUUUUGUACGGAACGAAAGUCCUUACUAAUAAGAGGACAUGACGUACGUAAGAAUAAGCACGCUAACACGUAA